GAUUGCUAUCGCCUUCUCCUCCCCAAUCACAUCCCCGCUCCUACGCACUCGCCCAUUCCAGCGGAACCGCUGCUGGAGUUUGACGCCCAACCACCACCACACUUGCGAGACAUCCCCUGCGCGGCACCCGCCCAUAAUCCCCGCUUCGCCGGCAGCAACUUCUCCCAUGCCCUACCCCUCGAAUGCAAUCCCUGGUCCUGGUCCUGCCCCCUCCGCCCCUCACCACCGUAAUCGAUGCCAGGUGAGGAUCUACGCCGGACCCCUACCCCUUCAGGCUGCUGCUCACGAAGGCCGCGAUUCCAGGUGGGUACAAUCGCUCACUUCUAGGUGAGAUCCAACUCGGCAUAAGGACGGCGGUGGCCUCUCUUCCAGCCAUCGGUUGGAGUUCCUCUGCUCCCCUCCUCCCUACCACACAAGCUUUCUUGUAGGAUCUAGAGGGCAGAAGCGAUGCAUUUUUAAGGCAGAAAAUAGACCCUUUUCCGUGGUGCAAGCCGUGGUCUAAUCCACACGAUUCUAGGCAAUGCUAGUUGUGUAUUGUCAAAGAAAUGAUUAUUUUCUGUCAUCCUCUCGUGAUACAAUGCAUAUAUGAGAUAAAAAUAUGGGUGUUUAGAUAGUUUAACCUACAGGCAGAUACCAUUUAUUUUGGUGUUUUAUUUUACCCUGCUAUUUUGGCUCAGACUUGAUCAUAUCACCUAAUAGCUAGUUGACUAUAUAACUUACUCCCGACAUGAACGAAAAUUACCACAAAUUUUAGACUGCGCUGCACCUAUUAUUCGAGCAGACUGAAGAACUGUCACAAGGAAUGUCACUGUUCAUGAAGACUAUUAUACUGUCUUCUCACCAUUUUUGCAUUUGUAUAAGAUUAUUCUUUUGAAAUCCAAUAAUUAUCUCUUCUGUAAAUGGAUGUUUACUCUGUGACUCUGUUUGUAUAUAUGAACCCAAUUGUUCGCCAACCCCCUGCGUGGUCAGCCCCCUCUGCGCACCACCCCCCUGCGUCGUCGGCCCCCAUAGUUCGCCAGUCUGCGGGCACCCGUCUCGCCGCUGCCGCCCACCCCCCGCUGGCCGCUGUACGCCUGCGUCGACGGUCGGAUCCACCGGCGCAACACGAAGCGCGAACCCGCUGUAUAUGAAGAUAUCUAGGAGUAAUUAUUUCUGUAUAGUAUAAAUAUUAUUUGUUAAUACAUUUGACAUUACUCCUUGAAAAUUACUCCAAUAGGAAAUAAAAAAGGAGUAGGUACUCCUGGUUUGGCAAAGAAAA